AUUGAACGCUGGCGGCAUGCCUUACACAUGCAAGUCGAACGGUAGCGGGCCUUCGGGUGCCGACGAGUGGCGAACGGGUGAGUAAUAUAUCGGAACGUACCUUUCAGUGGGGGAUAACGUAGCGAAAGUUACGCUAAUACCGCAUAUUCUGUGCGCAGGAAAGCAGGGGACCUUCGGGCCUUGCGCUGAUUGAGCGGCCGAUAUCAGAUUAGCUAGUUGGUGAGGUAAAGGCUCACCAAGGCGACGAUCUGUAUCGGGUCUGAGAGGAUGAUCCGCCACACUGGAACUGAGACACGGUCCAGACUCCUACGGGAGGCAGCAGUGGGGAAUUUUGGACAAUGGGGGCAACCCUGAUCCAGCCAUGCCGCGUGAGUGAAGAAGGCCUUCGGGUUUUAAAGCUCUUUCGGCCGGGAAGAAAUCGUAUGGGCUAAUACCCUGUGCGGAUGACGGUACCGGCAUAAGAAGCACCGGCUAACUACGUGCCAGCCGCCGCAGUAACAC
rnacentral:rRNA from 1 species